UUUUACCAACGCAUCAGAAUAUCAAACACUGAUGUUUCGGCUGGGCUUUGGUAAACACGACUACUGUGCUACCAGACGACUCUCGCUCGCCAGUCUCUUCUAUCAGGACCUAUGAUGCCUCUAUUGGCAGUUGCAAGCGUGGCAGAGAUGCAACCAGAGGCAGAUAUGAGUGCUGUAGCAGUAGCAGCAGCAGUAGCUUGUGACUUCAUGGAAAGGCCACUGGAAUAUUUUCACCAGCUGCAGGAAUUUCCCUAGACGCCGCCACCGCAUCCCCAAACAACUAUUCCUGUAUUUCACCUCCUCAAACCGCACAGGACAUCACCACCAUCACCAUAGUUUACCUGUAACACCACAACACCAUCACCAAAGACACCAAUAACAACACCACCACAGCCCCAACCACAAUUUAUAAAUUAGCAUGAAUAUAGCGUUAGAAGAUAGCUAGAGAUGCAACAUUGCGGCGAUGAGAAAGAGGCUCAAUACAGUCAGUUAGAGGAGAUGAGUUGAUGAGAAGAAAAGGUUGUGAUUCCAUUCUGUUUAAAAGAGCGGUAUGAGUGGAAUCCUUCUUAUUUGUGUUGUAUUUUGGGUAUAUAUUUGUUUUCCUUUAUUGUUUAUUAUUUGGUACAUGUUACACUCACUUUGUUGCUUAUUAACUUGUACAUGUUACCAUAACUUAUUGCUCAUUAAUUUGUGCAUGUUUUGUCAACUUUGGUUUCCCUUAUUGCUCAUUAGCUUGAAUAUGUUAUGUUAACUAUAUUACAGCAUACUUACUUGAACCCAAGCGGGAUCACUGUGUCCUAGAUAAGUUACACGCGCUCUGCUCGCUUCAGUGGAUAUUUAGUUUAAUAAUGAUCAAGUUUUAUUU